rnacentral:rRNA from 1 species
GGAAGCUUAGUGUUUAUUAGAUAAAAAAAUCAAUGCUUCUCGGAGCUGUUUGAUGAUUCAUAAAUAACCUUUCGAAUCGCAUGGCCUUGUGCCCGGCGAUGGUCCAUUCAAAUUUCUGCCCUAUCAACUUUCGAUGGUAGGAUAGAGGCCUACCAUGAGUUCAACGGGUAACGGGGAAUUAGGGUUCGAUUCCGGAGAGGGUACCUGAGAAACGGCUACCACAUCCAAGGAAGGCAGCAGGCGCGCAAAUUACCCAAUUCUAAUUCAGAGAGGUACAGACAAUACAAGGCGAUACAGGGCCCAUUAGGGUAUAGUAAUUGCAAUGAGUACAAUUUAAGGAACUUAACGAGGAACAAUUGGAGGGCAAGUCUGGUGCCAGCAGCCGCGGUAAUUCCAGCUCCAAUAGCGUAUAUUAAAGUUGUUGCAGUUAAAAAGCUCGUAGUUGAACUUUGGGUCUGGUGGGCCGGUCUACCUAUGGUACGUACUGGUUUUCCACCGGAUCUUUCCUUCUGGUAACCUCCUCUCGGGGAGUGUGUCAGAACUUUUAC